GAUGAACGCUGGCGGCGUGCCUAAUACAUGCAAGUCGAGCGAACAGACGAGGAGCUUGCUCCUCUGACGUUAGCGGCGGACGGGUGAGUAACACGUGGAUAACCUACCUAUAAGACUGGGAUAACUUCGGGAAACCGGAGCUAAUACCGGAUAAUAUCUUGAACCGCAUGGUUCAAUAGUGAAAGACGGUUUUGCUGUCACUUAUAGAUGGAUCCGCGCCGCAUUAGCUAGUUGUUAAGGUAACGGCUUACCACGGCAACGAAGCGUAGCCGACCUGAGAGGGGGGUCGGCCACACUGGAACUGAGACACGGUCCAGAAGACUAAGGGAGGCAGCAGUAGGGAAUCUGCAGCAAUGGGCGAAAGCAUGACGGAGCAACGCCGCGUGAGUGAUGAAGGUCUUCGGAUCGUAAAACUCUGUUAUUAGGGAAGAACAAAUGUGGAAGUAACUAUGCACGGCUUGACGGUACCUAAUCAGAAAGCCACGGCUAACUACGUG
rnacentral:rRNA from 1 species